rnacentral:ncRNA from 1 species
CGGCCUGAGGUCGGACGAGGCUACCCGCUGAAUAUAAGCAUAUUACUAAGCGGAGGAAAAGAAACUAACGAGGAUUCCCUCAGUAACGGCGAGUGAAGCGGGACGAGCCCAGCGCCGAAUCCGGCCGCUUAUGGAGCGGACGGAAUUGUGGCGU